GUGCUUGCUUGGCAGCGCAUAUACUAAAAUAAAUUGAAACGAUACAGAGAAGAUUGGCAUGGCACCUGCGCAAGGAUGAUACACAAAUUUGUGAAGCGUUUCAUAUUUUU